rnacentral:rRNA from 1 species
AGGACGAACGCUGGCGGCGUGCUUAACACAUGCAAGUCGAGCGGAAAGGCCCUUCGGGGUACUCGAGCGGCGAACGGGUGAGUAACACGUGAGCAACCUGCCCCUAGCUCUGGGAUAGCUCCGGGAAACCGGGAUUAAUACCAGAUACGACCACUUUAGACAUCUGCUGUGGUGGAAAGGAUUCCGGCUAGGGAUGGGCUCGCGGCCUAUCAGCUUGUUGGUGGGGUAACGGCCUACCAAGGCGACGACGGGUAGCCGGCCUGAGAGGGCGACCGGCCACACUGGGACUGAGACACGGCCCAGACUCCUACGGGAGGCAGCAGUGGGGAAUAUUGCGCAAUGGGCGAAAGCCUGACGCAGCGACGCCGCGUGGGGGAUGAAGGCCUUCGGGUUGUAACCCCUUUCAGCAGGGACGAAGCGAAGUGACGGUACCUGCAGAAGAAGCGCGGCUAACACGUGCCAGCAGCCGC